rnacentral:rRNA from 1 species
UACGUAGGGCGCAAGCGUUGUCCGGAAUUAUUGGGCGUAAAGAGCUCGUAGGCGGUCUGUUACGUCCGCUGUGAAAACCCAGGGCUUAACCCUGGGCUUGCAGUGGAUACGGGCAGACUAGAGGCAGGUAGGGGAGAAUGGAAUUCCCGGUGUAGCGGUGAAAUGCGUAGAUAUCGAGAGGAACACCUGCGGCGAAGGCGGGUUGCUGGGCCGACACUGACGCUGAUGCGCGAAAGCCAGGGGAGCGAACGGG